rnacentral:rRNA from 1 species
AUUGAACGCUGGCGGCAUGCCUUACACAUGCAAGUCGAACGGCAGCACGGGAGCAAUCCUGGUGGCGAGUGGCGAACGGGUGAGUAAUAUAUCGGAACGUGCCCAGUCGUGGGGGAUAACGUAGCGAAAGUUACGCUAAUACCGCAUACGAUCUAUGGAUGAAAGCGGGGGAUCGCAAGACCUCGCGCGAUUGGAGCGGCCGAUAUCAGAUUAGGUAGUUGGUGGGGUAAAGGCCCACCAAGCCGACGAUCUGUAGCUGGUCUGAGAGGACGACCAGCCACACUGGAACUGAGACACGGUCCAGACUCCUACGGGAGGCAGCAGUGGGGAAUUUUGGACAAUGGACGCAAGUCUGAUCCAGCCAUUCCGCGUGCAGGAUGAAGGCCCUCGGGUUGUAAACUGCUUUUGUACGGAACGAAAAGGUCUCUCUUAAUACGGGGGGCUCAUGACGGUACCGUAAGAAUAAGCACCGGCUAACUACGUGCCAGCAGCCG